AAAAGGUGCUGUGGUCUUCCACCGGUCGCUGAGUUUGCAGAUGUCUCUGACACUCUGAAAGACCAGUAUGAGGAUGGGGAAAGAGUGAAAUAUCGAUGUCAGACAUUUUACACAAUCUCUGAAAAUCCCUACAUGACCUGCAGUGAUGGUCAAUGGACAGGAACAACAGGAUGCAUGAGGCCCUGUACAGUCACAACUGAGGAAAUGGAUCAGAAUUACAUACACCUGGCCCAUAGUCCCCAAAGAAAAAUAUACUUAGCACAUUUGGAUUUUCUCUCCUUCAAAUGCAACUGGUGGAAAUCUCUGCAGGCAGACAGUCCUGGCCUCCGUCAGCAGUGUAUGGACGGCGUCAUGACUUUGCCUCGUUGUGCCUAAUUUUGGCCUUUCUUACACUGAUUUAGUUGAGUGUUUCUAAAGAAACUCGGUGAAGAAUCUAAACCUUACUCAAAAUGAUAGGAUUGUAUUUUUGCUCCAUGCAGAAAUAAAUAAAAUUACUUUACAAUCAUGUGUA